CCCCAGGUUCUCGGCCUGGCUGUGGGAUUAGUUUCAUUUUUGCUCAUGGAUGUGGCCCUGCCCCCAUCCUGUGCAUCAGGCCAACGCUGCCCCGGCCUGUUGAGCCUUUAUGGCCCGUGGGCCUUCUACAAAAACCACGCCUGACCGCCCUGGGCGGUGUUGCUCCGUCCGUCCCUGCUGUUUUAAUGGCUGCCUUAAUGCACAGCCCCCCCCCCACUUUUGUGAAGGGCCGGCAGCGGGGCUGCUGACUCCCGGCCCUGGCCCACAGCUGAGCCCCCGGGGGGGGCUCGUUAAGCCCGUGCCAUAUGCUGCCACGUUCCUGCUGGGCGACAGGUUGCUCUGCGCUCAGCAGCGGAUCCGGCCCAGCUCCUUAACACGCUGCACCGGGGGGGGGGGGGGCCUUAGCAGCCGCUCAGGCAGUAAGCUGAGCAAAACGAGGAUUACACUCGUGCUUUGUGUUUCUAUCCCGGCAUCGGCAGCAUCACCUCGCAUUUCUUGCCAGCGCCGGCAAGCGGCUUAGAGCGCUGAGCGCCGGGAAAGCUCCUUUAAGACAAUAAGCAAAGAUGGGCCACAUUGUGUCACCCAAUAAAUAAGCAAGAGGCAGGGGUGGGGAGGAACACCUCCCCCCCGCCCCCCUGCCCCGCGUUCCAACCAGCAGAGGCCAUCAGCUGCACAGGGCCAGGUACCGGGCACUUGCUGGGUUUAUUCCAGCUCCCACCACAAGGAGUCACUGCAGAGCGCGGGGGGGGAGGGGGCUGAGUUGGCAUCUCCCAGAGGUCCUUAUAUUGCCCCGCGCCACCUUCUCCUGCAGCAAAGCCCCCGCCCCCACCUCUGCGGCAGGGCUCGGGGGGAAUCAGGGCCUACCCUACUUGCCUCAGGUCACAACACAGACAGGCUGUGGCAGCGCUGGCCUCGCACAGAGACCUCCUGAGCCCCCAGCUCGCACCCUGAUCACUGCACCAUCCAGCGCGGUGCAUCCCCUCCCCGCACGGGCUGCUGGGGGGGGAGAGGAGCCCCUGCCCCUGCUGGGGUCCUGCUGCUUUGGAGCGUCUUAGUGGAAGGGGAGUGGUAGCGGCGGUCCAGCCUCCCUCCUUUGGGGGGAGCUGGUGGAACUGGGCUGGCGAGCCAUGUGGGUCAAUGGCAUUUGAUUUCCUUAUUUCCCCUGCCUGUCACAGGGCAGAAGCUCUCAGGAGUGGGGUUGCAAAGCUGAUUUGUAGGGGAGCAGACGGGAGAGUUCAGAGCUUCUCCAGUCUCAGCCUCCCCCAGCAGGUGCUGGGGUGGGAGGAACGCCCGUGAAGAUGCUUCCAGCAGGAGGCACUGCAGGAGCAUGGGCUGCGGGGCCCGUUUCCAGCAGGUGGCACUGGGAAAGCUCUGGUUAUACAGGGAGCUCUCAGGUGCCCUAGCGCUCGCACAGGGACGGCAGGAACUGGCCGCAAGGGCGUGAGCCACAACUCCCCGUGCAAGCGGAGCCACGUGCAAGUAGUGAAUGCCAAUGGUCAUGAGGAAGCAGCCACGGGAAUGAGAGUCGGACACAAGUAAACAGAGCAGAUGCCGGAAGUCAGAGAGAAAACAAUCUAUUAGUGCAAAAAUGACCAUUUCUCUAUUACAGUACAACAGAUGGAAAGGAACAUACAACUGAGUUCAUUUUAGUCCGCAACCAAUCCUGAACAAGAGUAGAAAAGAAUCAAAUGCAGCGUUUCAACAGGCGUCUCCUUACAAGACAGAAAAUCCAGGGGACGGGAACGUGGCCUGCCCAGACUUGAAAUUAGUGUCGGCUGCCCCAGCCUAGACAUCGAUUAAUAAAAAAAAAAACACCCAGGUCUCCCAGAAAACCAGCCAGGCCUUCUCCAGCCCGCUUCCCUUUGAGCAUUAGCAGCUGCCCUGACCAUCUGUCACUAGUCAAAUCAUAAAGGAGACACGACGACUCCAGAGCGACGUGGGGGAGCCCGGAAUCGGCCUGAGCCCCGCGUCCCAGGGCAGCCCAGAGAGCAUCACCGUUAACUGCCGGCGCUUAGGGCAGACACACUCUGAGGGUAACGGGCCUGGAAAGACGGGUUCAAGGCCAUCGGAGAGCCAGUGCAGCUCUCCUCCUCUGCAGUUUGGAGCAGGCUCGCUGCCACUGGCCUCUUCCACUCUCCAGUCCUCACUUCCGUGUAAGUUUUUCCUGCAAAAGGACUUUGGGAUUCAUCUUGGGGCCUGGGAUAGAACCAAACUGGCAGGGAUCCCUCCAUCGUUUCCAAUUGCAGGCAGGUUAGACGGUCCCAAACCAAACUAGAACAAUUAAAAUCAACCCAGGCGGUUAGCUUCUGGGGCGGUGACUUGGUGUUUCCCAGCAGUUAGUACAGGGCAGGACAGAUGGGCGUUUGACCCAGGUGUGGGCGGUGAAUAAUCCCAAACUUCUGUGAAUCUAUUGGCUCAGUCAGGGCCCUGAGCUCACUAAGGCCUUGUCUAUGCUGGCAAAAACUGGUCCAUCGACUGCUGUGAGACUCUGCCCAGCCAGGAUGGGCACUAAGCGGGUUCCAAAGCCCUCGACCUUUCCCUGCUCGGGCUGGGGGCUGGUUUUGGGGAAUUGGCCAGGCCAGGCACACGGUUUGCAUUAGAACCCAGCAGACUCCAAGCAGAACCUCAGAUGGGACCUAAUAGUUCAGGCAAAGUGCUCUGAGUUAUUUUGUCACUAGUGCCAGGUAGCUUGGGAGAAACGUGCCUCUCUCCAAUACCAGGACUACCAAAGGGCCAGAUUCUGAUUCUACUCCAGCUUCCAGCCCCAGCCACUGACCUGGUACCACUGGGUAGAGUUUGGCCCCAAAACUUUACCAGCCCCUCCUGGCCUCCGUCCAGCUGGGGUUGGGAAUGGGCUGUCUUACCGGGCCAGGACUGAGAUCAACACCCCCUAUCGCAGAAGGAACCAACCAGGACAGAUCCACAGUGCUGUUCAGAUCCUGAUCCAGGGGAGAACGCUGACAGGAGUGCAGUAGUGGGGAAAAGCCAUGCCGGCCACCCGCUUUCCAACACAGGUCGUUUUCACAGUGUAGACCCAGGGCUGGAUCCUCAGCUGGCGUAAACCAGCAUCGGCCCACUGGCUUCAACUGAGUGAUGCGGAUUUACAUCAGCUGAGGAUUGUGCCCCACAGUCUUGGGGACUAAUUUUCAGUGGUCUCAGGCACCCACUGGCGUGGUAGGUCUGAAAAGCAGACCUGCCUCCACCCCCACCUACGCUUGGCUUCCUCAGCACUGGGAUUUGACUUGCCAGACCCACAUCUGGGGCGAAUGGGAUCAGCUCCCUCAUAUAAACAGCGCUGGACAGAAAGGAGAGUCCAAAGUGGCUGGUCACUGUGCAACAAGUCACAAGUCCAGCUGCGAGGCGCCCACCAAACAGGACCUGGGUGAGACAGGCAGCUUUCAAAAAGAGCCGUUAGCCAAAGUGCAGUGAGCUUGAGGAGCGGGAUGCAGGCAAACGACCAAGCAAUGGCCCCAUCCAAAGACUCCCCUGCCCUCCUUCAGCAAACAAAGCCAAGAGCAUGGAUAUAAAACCCAAAUCUCCAUCCUUCUGCCCCCCGCAUUUCCCCCAACAGUGUUCCAAGCUCAGCGCUGGGGGGAAAGGAGUAGAAAGAAUCCAAGAACAGCAACCUAGUUAACAAAGCUCCAAACCUCCUUCUGCCGGGCUUGAUCCUGCACAGCCCAAAUCCAAAUAAAAGCGAAAUCAACAAAAAGGGAAAUCAGCUCCAAUGAAAACACUUGUCAGAACAAUUUCCCCUGACCCGCUGCAGGCCCCUCAGCCGGUGUAAAUCGGCUUCACUCCAUUCAGUCCAGAGAGCCACAGGUGAUUUACGCCAGCUAAUGACCAGGAUGUGAGGGGUGAGCUUUGUACACCUGGGAGGCAUAAGAGGGUUGUUCUCUGCAUCUGAUCCACUGUCUUGUGGCAUCUGCUAGGCCCGUGCACCAGUUCAGCUCAAGGCCACAGCCUGCUGUCAUUGCCUGUCUUUGGAUCCCAGGGUGACAUUCAUCCUGGUGCAAAGGAGUUCGUACAAGGCCUCCGGGCCAUUAGAGGUGUUAGCCUCUCUGCUCUGGGGUGAACAGCAGCUGCAAUGAGGCCUAAACUCUCCCCCCUGAGGAAAGCAGGGGAAAGUACUGGGGCAUCAUGAGGGAUUGGGAUUGGAAUUGCCAUGCAUUUGGUGACAUGCCAGGAGUGCGCGUGUUAGCUGCUGCCUCUCGCCCCACCAGGAUCCUAGCUCGCCUCAAAUUUUAGCCCAGAAACUGGCAGUUUUUAUAUAGCUAUAGUUUUUCUUUUCUUCUCUUUUGAUUUCAAACAAGUUUAAAAAAAAAACAAAAACUACCCCCACGUUCGUAACGGGCAGAUUGUUACAUUGCUGUUUGUUGGGGUUUAGUGGUUCUUAUAUACAAGAAGAAAAAACUGUUGCAUUUUUAUAUUUUUAAUAUAUAUCUUUUAUUUUUUUUAACGCCCCCAAAAAGUGCAUUUUUUUAUUAUUUUUUUUUCUCGUCUCCCACACUUUAUAAAGAACUACCAAAGUUACAAUCUAUGGAAUGUCUUUUCUGUGCUUUUCUUGCCUCGCUCAUUACCCAGAUACCACACAAAGUAGUUUACACAUAAAACUGAUGAAACUUGCGAGUGCUUUAUAUAUAGAAUUCUUUUUUCUUUGUUUGUUUGUUUAUAUAUAAAGACGCAGGAAAUGUGGGCCUAUCCUUAGUAUUCUCUUUCUUCCUCCUGGUAUCAAAUCAGAUGAUUUCUGGGGAGGUGAUGGGAGAGUUUAAAAUCUACCCACCUCACAUUAAAGAUUAAUCUCUGUGUGUGUGUAUAUAUAUAUAUUAAUAUAUAUAUAUAUAUAUUUUUAGAAAACAUAGCUUCAAUACAGCAUCUCGUUACUUGUCCCAGGCAGUACAAAUGCUACCCACAUAGGUUCCCAACUAGGAAGCUAAAUCUGCUACCUGCUCUUUAAAAAGUGUUCCUCUUUAUUUAAAUAAAACUUUCAUAAUAAAUCAAAAAUAUAAAUAUAUAUAGAUUUUUUUAAAUAGUCGAAUCAGGCCUCCCGAAUGCUCCUCACACCGGCAUUUUGAGAAUACAGACAGAGCUUUUGGUUUGCUAACCUGACGGAUAGGCUCAAGGCGGGGUUAUUUCAAGCAUCCCAAAUGUUGUGGGAGGAUGUAGGGACUUACGACGGUUUGUCAAUUUCAAGGGACUGUUAUGGUUGCUCAGGCUGACCAUUCCUGCUUCCAGCCGGCACCCUGUGGCUGAACAAUGGUGUAAUCUUAUUGGAAACAGCCAAUCUCAAUUUAAAAAUACCACGUGACGGAGAAUCCACCCAUCCCUUGAGGAGCUGUCCCAAUGGCUUAAUACCUACACUGCUCAGAAACCUCCAUGUGCCCCCGCCACACCCCACUCUCCCUCCGGGUUUUCAACCUAUCCCCCUCUUCCCUUGGAGCUGGGCUCCGCAGGCUCUGAGGGUAGCUGUGGCUGAUGAGAGCUUUGGAAGGGAGAGGAUAAAAGGGAGAAAAUUCCCUUGCAGCAUUAAACAGCAAAUGCUAAAGGAAAAGGAGCCCUUUGCAUGCAGAAAUCAGCCCCCAAGAAAUGAGGGAAAUGGCUAGGAAAGCCCUCUCCCCAUUCCCCAACAGCCUGGGCUCGCCUAGAAACAGCCGCUAGCCUAGCUCCCAUGUGCAACAGAACAUACUUCCCACUGAGUCUAAUGGGUCCCGUUAGUGCAAAGAAACCUCCUGCACCUCUAAGAUGCUGCAUCCCUCUUUCUUGUUUAAGGCCUGGGGGAAAGUAGAGUCUCUGCCAUUUACUCAGAUCCCCGCUCUGGGGCAGGUGAUUCGAGUUCUGGGUUGGAAGAGCGGGCAGCUUCCUUGGCUGCAACCACACUAGGGCAGACUGGACAUGUGAUGCUCCCCCAUGACAGCGAUGGAUGGGGGCAGCUGUGCCGCCCCCACCGCAUGGUUUUGCUCUGAGAUGUGACUCCUUUGUCUCUCCGCCCCCGCCUUCUCCCAAAUUCAGAACUGGGGACAGCCCCCGCCCAGCCCAAGCUCUACCUGGGCGUGGUUGGUUUUCCGUUUUUGUAGGCAAAGCUGUCGAUUCACACGUGUCCAGCAGAGACUGGGGUAGGGUUUCAGCAAGAAGAUGCAGCAUCUUUAAAAGGAGCUCAGAGAAGGGGAAGGGGGGGC